CUGGAAUAAAACUAGCUUAGAAAAGUUAGACAGUGUGAACAUCGUAAGUGACAAAUUAAACUUGUCUUUUAAUUAAAUCCGUCGUUACAAAAAAAAAAAUUCGAAAUCGAUCGAUGAUUACUUGAUUUAAAUAUUUGGUCUAUAAUUGUGUCUUGAACAUAUUUGACGCGUUUAAAUUCAACAAGGGACUCGAUUUUUCAUAUUAUUUUAACAUGUUUGAUGGUCAGAUCCUUUGAACAAGUCACAUCAUCAUUGUAAAGUUAGUAUUUUGUGAAAUUAAUUGGAAAAUGGAAACGUUGUGGUUAUGGGACCAUGUAAAAAGUACACACAUUUGUUAAAACAAACAGGUGUCCAUAUUUCGUUCACCUGACUCAAAUAGGCCUAACUUACUGUUAAUUAUAUAUUUCACAUACAAAUUACAUUUCAGUUCACUAUUAAUAUGAUUAUUAGCAGCUCUUCAGAAUUAGCAGGAUAAUAAUAAACAGUGUACAUAAAUAACAGGACCGAUGUAUUCAAUGGAAAAUGUAUAGUACAUUGUGGGUUUUUUUCUCCUCUGAUUCCUACAUACAGGUGCAAAGCCAAGAACAGAACAAAGAUGCACGGCUAGAGGACAGAAAACAAAGAUGCCUACUCUAAAGGAUUGCUACGCAUGCAGGGAAAAAAUCGGAGUUGCCAGCAAGACAUGUCAGCACUGUAGGGCCAAACAGCCAUAUAAGGAAUUGCUUGAAAAAAAAAAGAAACAGCUUUCCCAGGAAUGGAAAGAGAGACAAAAAAAACAGCAGUGUAAACAAAGUUUACGAUGCAACAAAUCUACUACUCCACAAGUGGGAACUUUUAGAGAGGUUCCCAGUGCUACUUCUUGCCAGGAGAACCUCAAAUGGAUUUUCAGCUGAAUGCUUCUGUCCAUGGAAGAUGGGGACAGAAGAUAGUCAGGAUGCUUUUCUGACAAUAAAGCGACUGUAUGAAAGUCUUCUCAAUGUGGCUAUUGCAGAUAAAGAAGCAAGCAGCACAGGAGAGAGUUCUGCCACAAACAGCACAGAGACUCCACCAGCAGACUCCACACUUCAGCUCACCUGUAAUGUGUCUAACAAAGAUAAAGAAGCAAGCAGCAUGGGAGAGAGUUCUGCCACAAACAGCACGGAGACAGAGACUUCACCAGAAGACUCCACAGCAGACCCAGCUUCAGAGCUCACCCCUGAGUCUGACACUGUUUUACUUCCUCCUGCAUCUUCCUCCUUUGCUCCUCCAGUGUCCCCCCUGACUCAUCCUGCGUUUGUGUCCUCUCAGUCUAGUCCUAUAUCUUCUUCCUCUGCUUCUCCUCUGCCACCAGCCUCUAAACUUUCUACCCGUUCUAAACUAUCCACUGAGCAAGGCAGUUCAGGCCCAGUAGCUUCCUCACGGAAAAAAAGACAAAUAAAGAGGAAAGCGGACCCUAAAGAAUGCCCCAUGCAUGAGGAAUCAACCAGUUUCCCAUACAAAAAGAUACUGAGGAAAAGAAUGAGGGAGGGCCAUGCAGAGGUGUUGGUUCAGUGGCAUCCUUGCUCUGGAUGUGGGAAAAAGUGGAAGAACUCAUGGGAGCCAAAAAGAAAUAUUCAAAGUUCAUCCUGAAGAUGUGUGUGUGUUUAGAUGUGUUGUUUGUUGCUAGGUUGUAAAGUUGAUGCCCUGUAUGACAAUUACAGAGACUGACUUAAAAUUUUGUCUUUCAGUGUUAAGGCACAUCAGUUCUGAUCUACAGUAUGCUCGUGUUAUGAUUUGUGCUUGCUUUGUAAAGCACACAGUCUUUCUGUUUUUGAUGACUGGACUCAUUAAAAUUUUUUAAAUAUGUAACUGGCUCUGUUCCUUAAUAUAAUUUAAGAUUAUUUAUAAUUUGUCAUUUAAGAGCAAAAAUAUAUGCACUGUAACUAAGUGCAAUUACUGAUGUUUACGGCUGAAAAUUUCAGAUAAAUCCUACGUUUACGGUACUGAAAAUUUACUAGAUAAAUCCACGUUGUUGUUUAUUAUUAUUAUUUAUUUUCAUUAUUCAUGACCAAAAAGCACCUAUUAGCCCACAGUCUAGAUGUGUUUUUAAAUCUAUAAUGUGUGUAUGGGAGGAUAGACCAGUACAUUUUUUUGGGCCUUGCAAAUGAGCAAACAUCUGAAGCUGGUACUUCCUUCCCUGCAGGUAAGAACACAAGGAAGACAGUGAUUAAAUACUAUCAAUACCAGAACAAUACUUUUUGUAAAUGAUGGCACUUACCAUGCCCAUCUGCCACUGGACUUUGAGAUAAUCGGGUAAUGUAGUCAAUCAUUUCCAUCAGUUAUAAACUCACCCAUUCAUUGCAAAACUUAUGUUAUUGCCCUGAGAGAUCUAAUCAGUGCUAUGAAGAGCCCCUGAAUUUAUAAAAUUAUUAAAAUUAAAAUAAUUUUUUGUUCCUUUCCAUGGAGUCCCACCCUUAACACACACACACACACACACACACAGGUUUGUUUUGCUAUAAUAGUGAGGACAUGGCAUAGACUUCCAUUGAUCUUAUAUCAUGUUAAUUAUAUUUUAUAUCACCAUUUUAUUAUUAUUAUUAUUAUUAUAUUCCAUCCCUACUGUGUUAUUCCUUUUCUGUCUGCACUAUGUUGUACUUCCUUCUACACUGAAAGCUCCUGUCAUCAAGUCAAAUUCCUUGUGUGUAAACAUACUUGGUAAUAAACCUCUUCUGAUUCUGAUCUAACCCAACCCUACUCCUAAACCUACCCAUUACAGAAACAUGUAGAUUUAAAUAAAAACAUAUUUUGGCUGAUUUAUAAGCCUUUUUAACUAGUAAUGACCAGUCAAAAGUGGGUUUUCUAGUGGGUUGUCAAAGUAUUUCAUAAUAUAAGCGAGGAUAUAUGGUCUUCACAAAUUAUAGCCAAUACGAGUACACACACACACACACACACACACACACACACACAUACAACAUUAAAAUCGACCCCUAACCUAAUCCCACAUAUCAUCUAUCUACAAUAUUUUUAAGGAGUAAAAUCCAUAACCAAAUAUUGGUUUAUAAAUUAUUAAAUUAAAUAAUUUUGUUCUUCCAUGGAGUCCACCCUUAACACACACACACACACACACACACAGGUUUGUUUUGCUAUAAUAGUGAGGACAUGGCAUAGACUUCCAUUGAUCUUAUAUCAUGUUAAUUAUAUUUUAUAUCACCAUUUUAUUAUUAUUAUUAUUAUUAUAUUCCAUCCCUACUGUGUUAUUCCUUUUCUGUCUGCACUAUGUUGUACUUCCUUCUACACUGAAAGCUCCUGUCAUCAAGUCAAAUUCCUUGUGUGUAAACAUACUUGGUAAUAAACCUCUUCUGAUUCUGAUCUAACCCAACCCUACUCCUAAACCUACCCAUUACAGAAACAUGUAGAUUUAAAUAAAAACAUAUUUUGGCUGAUUUAUAAGCCUUUUUAACUAGUAAUGACCAGUCAAAAGUGGGUUUUCUAGUGGGUUGUCAAAGUAUUUCAUAAUAUAAGCGAGGAUAUAUGGUCUUCACAAUUAUAGCCAAUACGAGUACACACACACACACACACACACACACACACACACAUACAACAAUUAAAUCGCCCCUAACCCUAACUCCCACAUAUCAUCUAUCUACAAUUAUUUUAAGGAGUAAAUCCAUAACCAAUAACACACACACACACACACACACACACACACACACAUACAACAUUAAAAUGCCCCUAACCCUAAUCCCACAUAUCAUCUAUCUACAAUAUUUUUAAGGAGUAAAAAUCCAUAACCAAAUAUUGGUAAUUAAAUGCUUUCACAUUGAAACAACACUUACAGCCACAAUAAACAACAAUAAUAAUAUUCAGUAUGCAGAAAUUGUAUGACAAUUAAGUAUUUUGUGUGUAAGCAGUUGAAGAAAAAAGAACAUAAACAAACACGAUAUAUAUCAAAGAAAUAGCUGACAUGGCUUCACUGAUUGAGGACAUACAGUUUGGGCUACACUUUUAUAAACAUCUGGAAAACAAUAUGUGAAAAUAAGAUACAAAUGUACUAACAUCUUUCAUAUCCACAUACGCCACUUAUAUGUAGUACUGCAACAUUAUAUUUGUGGCAUUAUAUUUGUAUAUGAUUUUCUCUGUUUAUUACUGGGUGCAAAUAAAAUAAAGCAAUAUGACUGAUGUGCACAUGAGCUUUUAUGUAUCAUUAUGGACUCUAUUACCCUGCUUUGGCCACUUGUCAGCAAAAUGCCAUAGGCCAGUGGUUCCCAACCUUUUUCAACUCGCGGCCCACACAACCAAACAUAUGUUUGUGCGGCCCACUGAAAAAAAAAAAAAAAAUACACUGACCCACCUAUUGUUGGGUUAAGUAACUUAACUCAGAAGCUAGAUUGUAAACUGUAUUUAUUGAAUGAACAGGGCUGUGCGAUACGGCAAAAAAAAAAAAAAAAAAUAUCGCGAUUUCAUUGAUCAAUUUUGCGAUUUCGAUUUUAAUCACAAUUUUGACACACACAGAUAUGCUUUACAGUCAUAAAUGCAUUCAGGAUGAAUUUGAAACAUUUUUCCAAAAGAAAACCAAUUAGAGCUUUAUCAAAAAGUUGGAACAUCUCUAGAACAGACAUAAGUCAAAAUAAUCACUAUAGUAAAGGUGUAACAAAAUUUCUAGACCUACGGCAAAAAAAUAUAUAAAUAAAUAAAUCCUGUGUCCAGGGACUUUUUUGCCAUACAAUGUUUAUAGAGCUCAUUAAUUGUAGCGGUGCCUCAGGUGUUGAAAUGGAUUUGUUAUACAUUAUACAGGUUCACACGUACUCCAUCUGCAGUGUUUAUACAGUAUGUGUAUGUGGUGCAGAAGCAGCAGCAAGAGCGCAUUAAUGUAACGCGAAAGCACAUUAAAUUAAUGCGCGAGCGCGAAUCUCUGUUCGCACGCAGAUUUCUUUUUGCUCGGUCACAAAACCAGACGCGCUUGCUCAGAUACACGCUGCUCUCGCCCGGAGAAAGUGCGCGCACUUAAAACGUGUCUUCUCUCGCUCAAACUGCGUCCUGUGCACUCACAACUCUCUCUAUGUGCGCGAGCGCGAAUCUCUGUUCGCACGCAGAUUUCUUUUGCUCGGUCACAAAACCAGACGCGCUUGCUCAGAUACACGCUGCUCUCGCCCGGAGAAAGUGCGCGCACUUAAAACGUGUCUUCUCUCGCUCAAACUGCGUCCUGUGCACUCACAACUCUCUCUAUGCUCAUGUGCUAGAUAUUAAUUCUUUUCGCACGUUUUUAUUUCUAGCCUUUUACCGCGUGCAGUGUGAACGCUCUGAUCCGUUAACAUGGGCUUGGAAAAAAGGCGCAUCACAUCUGUUCUCGCGCUGUUCUCGCGCUAGGCGCGUUGCAUUAUGAUUGGAUCGGAUGGCAAACUGCGGGAGGUCAGGGCCGCGGAAAAUCUUGUUAUAAAGCAAUUUGUCGCGCAUGCUCAAAUCGUGAUUUUAUGAUGAUUUCUAUCGCACAGCCCUAGAAUGAACUGGCAAUUAACAGAAAAUAACUCGGGCUUAUUUAAUUAUAUAUAUGAAAUGAUGUUAUUAUGUUAUGACUUAGACAUUUUUACAUAUAUUAACAAUAUUAUUAUUUAUUUUAAUAGUAAUUGGCGGCCCA
rnacentral:lncRNA from 1 species